rnacentral:rRNA from 1 species
AUUGAACGCUGGCGGCAUGCCUUACACAUGCAAGUCGAACGGCAGCACGGGUGCUUGCACCUGGUGGCGAGUGGCGAACGGGUGAGUAAUACAUCGGAACAUGUCCUGUAGUGGGGGAUAGCCCGGCGAAAGCCGGAUUAAUACCGCAUACGAUCUACGGAUGAAAGCGGGGGACCUUCGGGCCUCGCGCUAUAGGGUUGGCCGAUGGCUGAGUAGCUAGGUGGUGGGGUAAAGGCCUACCGAGGCGACGAUCAGUAGCUGGUCUGAGAGGACGACCAGCCACACUGGGACUGAGACACGGCCCAGACUCCUACGGGAGGCAGCAGUGGGGAAUUUUGGACAAUGGGCGAAAGCCUGAUCCAGCAAUGCCGCGUGUGUGAAGAAGGCCUUCGGGUUGUAAAGCACUUUUGUCCGGAAAGAAAUCCUUGGCCCUAAUACGGUCGGGGGAUGACGGUACCGGAAGAAUAAGCACCGGCUAACUACGUG